rnacentral:rRNA from 2 species
AGGGAGCGUGGCGGGCGGGCCUAAUACAUGCAAGUCGAGCGAACUGAUUAGAAGCUUGCUUCUAUGACGUUAGCGGCGGACGGGUGAGUAACACGUGGGCAACCUGCCUGUAAGACUGGGAUAACUUCGGGAAACCGAAGCUAAUACCGGAUAGGAUCUUCUCCUUCAUGGGAGAUGAUUGAAAGAUGGUUUCGGCUAUCACUUACAGAUGGGCCCGCGGUGCAUUAGCUAGUUGGUGAGGUAACGGCUCACCAAGGCAACGAUGCAUAGCCGACCUGAGAGGGUGAUCGGCCACACUGGGACUGAGACACGGCCCAGACUCCUACGGGAGGCAGCAGUAGGGAAUCUUCCGCAAUGGACGAAAGUCUGACGGAGCAACGCCGCGUGAGUGAUGAAGGCUUUCGGGUCGUAAAACUCUGUUGUUAGGGAAGAACAAGUACGAGAGUAACUGCUCGUACCUUGACGGUACCUAACCAGAAAGCCACGGCUAACUACGUGCCAGCAGCCGCGGUAAUACGUAGGUGGCAAGCGUUAUCCGGAAUUAUUGGGCGUAAAGCGCGCGCAGGCGGUUUCUUAAGUCUGAUGUGAAAGCCCACGGCUCAACCGU